rnacentral:rRNA from 1 species
GGGACCUACGGGGGGCAGCAGUGGGGAAUAUUGGGCAAUGGGCGCAAGCCUGACCCAGCAACGCCGCGUGAAGGAAGAAGGCUUUCGGGUUGUAAACUUCUUUUCUCAGGGACGAAGCAAGUGACGGUACCUGAGGAAUAAGCCACGGCUAACUACGUGCCAGCAGCCGCGGUAAUACGUAGGUGGCAAGCGUUAUCCGGAUUUACUGGGUGUAAAGGGCGUGUAGGCGGGAAAGCAAGUCAGAUGUGAAAACCACGGGCUCAACCUGUGGCCUGCACUUGAAACUGUUUUUCUUUAGUACUGGA